rnacentral:rRNA from 1 species
GACGAACGCUGGCGGCGUGCCUAAUACAUGCAAGUAGAACGCACAGUUUAUACCGUAGCUUGCUACACCAUAGACUGUGAGUUGCGAACGGGUGAGUAACGCGUAGGUAACCUGCCUGGUAGCGGGGGAUAACUAUUGGAAACGAUAGCUAAUACCGCAUAAUAUUGAUUGUUGCAUGAUAAUUGAUUGAAAGAUGCUAUUGCAUCACUACCAGAUGGACCUGCGUUGUAUUAGCUAGUAGGUGAGGUAACGGCUCACCUAGGCGACGAUACAUAGCCGACCUGAGAGGGUGAUCGGCCACACUGGGACUGAGACACGGCCCAGACUCCUACGGGAGGCAGCAGUAGGGAAUCUUCGGCAAUGGACGAAAGUCUGACCGAGCAACGCCGCGUGAGUGAAGAAGGUUUUCGGAUCGUAAAGCUCUGUUGUAAGAGAAGAACGGGUGUGAGAGUGGAAAGUUCACACUGUGACGGUAUCUUACCAGAAAGGGACGGCUAACUACGU